rnacentral:rRNA from 1 species
AUCUAAGUACCCCGAGGAAAAGAAAUCAACCGAGAUUCCCCCAGUAGCGGCGAGCGAACGGGGAGGAGCCCAGAGCCUGAAUCAGCAUGUGUGUUAGUGGAAGCGUCUGGAAAGGCGCGCGAUACAGGGUGACAGCCCCGUACACAAAAGCGCAUGUGCUGUGAGCUCGAUGAGUAGGGCGGGACACGUGGUAUCCUGUCUGAAUAUGGGGGGACCAUCCUCCAAGGCUAAAUACUCCUGACUGACCGAUAGUGAACCAGUACCGUGAGGGAAAGGCGAAAAGAACCCCGGCGAGGGGAGUGAAAAAGAACCUGAAACCGUGUACGUACAAGCAGUGGGAGCACAGGUUUACCUGUGUGACUGCGUACCUUUUGUAUAAUGGGUCAGCGACUUAUAUUCUGUAGCAAGGUUAACCGUAUAGGGGAGCCGGAGGGAAACCGAGUCUUAACCGGGCGUUAAGUUGCAGGGUAUAGACCCGAAACCCGGUGAUCUAGCCAUGGGCAGGUUGAAGGUUGGGUAACACUAACUGGAGGACCGAACCGACUAAUGUUGAAAAAUUAGCGGAUGACCUGUGGCUGGGGGUGAAAGGCCAAUCAAACCGGGAGAUAGCUGGUUCUCCCCGAAAGCUAUUUAGGUAGCGCCUCGUGAAUUCAUCUCCGGGGGUAGAGCACUGUUUCGGCUAGGGGGCCAUCCCGGCUUACCAACCCGAUGCAAACUGCGAAUACCGGAGAAUGUUAUCACGGGAGACACACGGCGGGUGCUAACGUCCGUCGUGAAGAGGGAAACAACCCAGACCGCCAGCUAAGGUCCCAAAGUCAUGGUUAAGUGGGAAACGAUGUGGGAAGGCCCAGACAGCCAGGAUGUUGGCUUAGAAGCAGCCAUCAUUUAAAGAAAGCGUAAUAGCUCACUGGUCGAGUCGGCCUGCGCGGAAGAUGUAACGGGGCUAAACCAUGCACCGAAGCUGCGGCAGCGAACGUAUCACCCAAGACAACUUUACGGAGUUGACGAUUGACGGAGCGAAGCGACGUCAAAGCGUUCAUUAAAGUCGAGUUGGCUUAGGGAUACGUUCGUUGGGUAGGGGAGCGUUCUGUAAGCCUGUGAAGGUGGCCUGUGA